GAUGAACGCUAGCUACAGGCUUAACACAUGCAAGUCGCGGGGCAGCAUGUUACUGGCUUGCCAGUAAUGAUGGCGACCGGCGCACGGGUGAGUAUCGCGUAUCCAACCUUCCCAUAUCCACGGGAUAGCCUGCCGAAAGGCAGAUUAAUACCGUAUGUUGUCGCACGCUGGCAUCAAAAUGCGACGAAAGGCUUAGCGGAUAUGGAUGGGGAUGCGUCCGAUUAGCUUGACGGCGGGUAACGCCACGUGGCGACGAUCGGUAGGGUUCUGAGAGGAAGGUCCCCCACAUUGGGAACUGAGACACGGUCCAAACUCCUACGGGAGCAGCAGUGAGGAAUAUUGGGUCAAUGGGCGAAGCCUGAACCAGCCAAGUAGCGUGCAGGAUGAC
rnacentral:rRNA from 1 species